rnacentral:rRNA from 1 species
AUUGAACGCUGGCGGCAUGCCUUACACAUGCAAGUCGAACGGCAGCACGGGGGCAACCCUGGUGGCGAGUGGCGAACGGGUGAGUAAUACAUCGGAACGUGUCCUGUAGUGGGGGAUAGCCCGGCGAAAGCCGGAUUAAUACCGCAUACGCUCUACGGAGGAAAGGGGGGGAUCUUAGGACCUCCCGCUACAGGGGCAGCCGAUGGCAGAUUAGCUAGUUGGUGGGGUAAAGGCCUACCAAGGCGACGAUCUGUAGCUGGUCUGAGAGGACGACCAGCCACACUGGGACUGAGACACGGCCCAGACUCCUACGGGAGGCAGCAGUGGGGAAUUUUGGACAAUGGGCGAAAGCCCUGAUCCAGCAAUGCCGCGUGUGUGAAGAAGGCCUUUCGGGUUGUAAAAGCCACUUUUGUUCCGGAAAGAAAAAC